rnacentral:rRNA from 1 species
AUACGACGGCGUCGUAUCUGCUGAAUUUGUGUAAUCUCUGGACUCUCCCCAGGUUUUAUCACAAGAAAAGAGGAUAAACACCCCGCUCCUUGUUCUCUUAAAUUUCGGCUAGGAUGGAUGAAACUCCCCCUUCCGUCCCUUAGGAAAUCAAGUCUUGGUUUGGGGGGAAUGUCCCAAACUGAAACUUAAGAAAUGGCGGAGGGCCCCCCCAGGGUGGAGCUCCGGUUUAUUUACUCAACCCGGGGAAACUUCCAGGUCCAGACAUAGUAAGAAUGACGGAUUAUAGCUCUUUUCUGAUUCUAUGGGGGGUGGUCCAUGGCCGUUUUAAGUGGUGGAGUGAUUUUUCUGGUUAAUUCCGAUAACGAACGAGACCUUAACCCGCCUAACUAGAUAUUUUCAUUUUAAGAAAAAAUCUUCUUAGAGGGACUAUAUGCUUUGGGGGGGGGGGGCCUCCGAGGCAAUAACAAAAAAAAGGGUGCCCUUAUAUGUCUUUGGUUGCGGGCGUGCUACACUGAUAUAUACAACAAGUGCCUAGCUAGAUAUAGUAUGGCAAUCUCGAAUAUCAUAUCUGAAUGAGGAUAGAUCUUUGCAAUUAUAGAUCUUGAACGAGGAAUUCCUAGUAAGUGCAAGUCAUCAUCUUGCAUUGAUUAUGUCCCUGCCCUUUGUACACACCGCCCGUCGCUCCUACCGAUACCUGUGAUCCGGUGAACCUUUUGGACCUCGCAAGAGGAAAAAUUAGUACCCUUUCGAGUGAGCAUCUGAGCAGCGCGUUUUGACUGCUCGAAUCUUGGCCGCGU